rnacentral:rRNA from 1 species
UAGUAACACGNGGACAACCUACCCUUCGGGUGGGGGACAACCUUCGGGAAACUGAGGCUAAUACCCCAUAGGCCUCGGAUACUGGAAGGUUCCGAGUACCGAAAGCUUCCGGCGCCCGAGGAUGGGUCUGCGGCCUAUCAGGUAGUUGGUGGUGUAAAGGACCACCAAGCCUACGACGGGUACGGGCCCUGAGAGGGGGAGCCCGGAGAUGGACUCUGAGACACGAGUCCAGGCCCUACGGGGCGCAGCAGGCGCGAAACCUUCGCAAUGCNCGAAAGCGCGACGAGGGGANCCCGAGUGCCCUUCCUUUCGGGAGGGCUUUUCUGGAGCCUAAAAAGCUCCAGGAAUAAGGGCUGGGCAAGACGGGUGCCAGCCGCCGCGGUAAUACCCNCAGCUCGAGUGGUGGCCACUAUUAUUGAGCCUAAANCGUCCGUAGCCGGACCCGUAAAUCCCUGGGUAAAUCCUGGCGCUCAACGUCAGGAAUUCCUGGGAGACUGCGGGUCUUGGGACCGNGAGAGGCCNGAAGUACUCCCGGGGUAUGGGUAAAAUCCUGUCAUCCCNG